rnacentral:rRNA from 1 species
CCUACGGGAGGCAGCCGUGGGGAAUAUUGGGCCAUGGAGGCAACUCUGACCCAGCAACGCCGCGUGAAUGAUGAAGGUCUUCGGAUUGUAAAGUUCUGUGAUGGGGGAUGAACACAAUGACGGUACCCCAAUAGCAAGCCACGGCUAACUACGUGCCAGCAGCCGCGGUAAUACGUAGGUGGCAAGCGUUAUCCGGAAUGACUGGGCGUAAAGGGUGCGUAGGUGGUUUAGUAAGUUGGCGGUGUAAUUCCGGGGCUCAACCUCGGCGCUACCGCCAAAACUAUUAGACUAGAGUGCAGGGGGGGUAAGUGGAAUUCCUAGUGUAGCGGUGGAAUGCGUAGAUAUUAGGAGGAACAUCAGGGGCGAAGGCGACUUACUGGACUGUAACUGACACUGAGGCACGAAAGCGUGGGGAGCAAACAGGAUUAGAUACCCGAGUAGUC